rnacentral:rRNA from 1 species
GACUCUCGGCAACGGAUAUCUCGGCUCACGCAUCGAUGAAGAACGUAGCAAAAUGCGAUACUUGGUGUGAAUUGCAGAAUCCCGUGAACCAUCGAGUUUUUGAACGCAAGUUGCGCCCGAASCCWUUUGGUKGRGGSCACGUCUGCCUGGGCGUCACGC